GCAGCUUUACUACCAGGCUAUAUCACACAAUACUAUACCUACAGCAGGCUUAGUACCAGGCUAUAUCACACAAUACUAUACAUACAGCAGGUUUAGUACCAGGCUAUAUCACACAAUACUAUACAUACAGCAGGUUUAGUACCAGGCUAUAUCACACAAUACUAUACAUACAGCAGGCUUAGUACCAGGCUAUAUCACACAAUACUAUACAUACAGCAGGUUUAGUACCAGGCUAUAUCACACAAUACUAUACAUACAGCAGCUUUACUACCAGGCUAUAUCACACAAUACUAUACAUACAGCAGCUUUACUACCA
rnacentral:lncRNA from 1 species